rnacentral:rRNA from 1 species
UACGUAGGGGGCAAGCGUUGUCCGGAAUCAUUGGGCGUAAAGCGCGUGUAGGCGGCCCAAUAAGUCCGCUGUGAAAGUCCAGGGCUCAACCCUGGAAUGCCGGUGGAUACUGUCGGGCUCGAGUCCGGAAGAGGCGAGUGGAAUUCCUGGUGUAGCGGUGAAAUGCGCAGAUAUCAGGAGGAACACCGAUGGCGAAGGCAGCUCGCUGGGACGGUACUGACGCUGAGACGCGAAAGCGUGGGGAGCAAACAGG